rnacentral:rRNA from 1 species
GGAUUACCCUAUAACUGCGAGUGAAACGGGAAAAGCUCAAAUUUAAAAUCUGACAGUUUUGGCUGUUCGAGUUGUAAUCUGGAGAAGCGUCUCCGUGCUGAACCGUGUACAAGUCUCCUGGAACGGAGCGUCAUAGAGGGUGAGAAUCCCGUCUUUGACACGGACUACCAGUGCUUUGUGAUGCGCUCUCAAAGAGUCGAGUUGUUUGGGAAUGCAGCUCCAAAUGGGUGGUAAACUCCAUCUAAAGCUAAAUAUUGGCGAGAGACCGAUAGCGAACAAGUACCGUGAGGGAAAGAUGAAAAGCACUUUGGAAAGAGAGUUAAACAGUACGUGAAAUUGCUGAAAGGGAAACGCUUGAAGUCAGUCGCGUUUGCUAGGACUCAGCCUUGCCUCGGCUUGGUGCAUUUCCUAGUGAACGGGCCAGCAUCAUUUUUGGCUGCGGGAAAAAGGUCAGAGGAAUGUGGCACCUCCGGGUGUGUUAUAGCCUCUGGCUGUAUACCGUGGCUGGGAGUGAGGAACUCAGCAUGCCUUAAUGGCGGGGCUUCGGCCACCUUCGUGCUUAGGAUGCUGGCGUAAUGGCUUUAAACGACCCGUCUUGAAACACGGACCAAGGAGUCUAACAUGCCUGCGAGUGUUUGGGUGGAAAACCCGAGCGCGCAAUGAAAGUGAAAGUUGGGACCCCUCCGUCUGUGGAGGGCACCGACGCCCGGACCUGAACUCGGUGACGGCUCUGCGGUAGAGCAUGCAUGUUGGGACCCGAAAGAUGGUGAACUAUGCCUGAAUAGGGUGAAGCCAGAGGAAACUCUGGUGGAGGCUCGUAGCGAUUCUGACGUGCAAAUCGAUCGUCAAAUUUGGGUAUAGGGGCGAAAGACUAAUCUAACCAUCUAGUAGCUGGUUCCUGCCGAAGUUUCCCUCAGGAUAGCCAAACUCGUAUCAGAUUUAUGUGGUUAAGCGAAUGAUUAGAGGCCUUGGGGUUGAAACAACCUUGACCUAUUUCAAACUUUAAAUAUGUAAGAACAAC